rnacentral:rRNA from 1 species
UACGUAGGUCGCAAGCGUUGUCCGGAUUUACUGGGCGUAAAGAGCGCGCAGGCGGCUGGUCAAGUCCGAUGUGAAAUCUCCCGGCUCAACUGGGAAACUGCAUCGGAAACUGAUCGGCUUGAAGAUGGGAGAGGGUAGUGGAAUUCCCGGUGUAGUGGUGAAAUGCGUAGAUAUCUGGAGGAAUACCGGUGGCGAAGGCGACUACCUGGCCUGUUCUUGACGCUGAGGCGCGAAAAGCUAGGGGAGCAAACGGG